AGAGAGAUAUUUUUACACCUUGAGAGAGGAAAGAUCUUGAACUCCCUUUGUUUCUUUACUCUGUACUGUUUAUUUAUCUAUUGCAAUAUUAUUCAGACCAUCAUAACCAUGUCCUUUAUGAAUAUGUCUGAGUAAUCUCACUGUUAGAUUUAGGAUUCUCAUAAGAUUGUUAUAUGUAUUGCUAGCUUAAAUUGUUGUUAGGAUGAUUUAAUUAGUUCU
rnacentral:lncRNA from 1 species